ACCAGGCGGCAUGGAUAUGCGCCGGCGGGCUCUUGGAGCGGCGCGCGGCACCCUCCUCCGUCUACGGCCAUACCACCCUGAACGCGCCCGAUCUCGUCUGAUCUCGGAAGCUAAGCAGGGUCGGGCCUGGUUAGUACUUGGAUGGGAGACCGCCUGGGAAUACCGGGUGCUGUAGGCUUUUUGCCUCCCUCUCCUUUAGGCGCCGCCGCCGCCGCCGCCGCCCCCUUCAGCGCAGUUCACCGCCAGCCCCAGCGCCCCCUGCCCCGACUGCCCCUCCCGCCCCACCGCGCGGAGCCGUCGUGCGGCGCGGCCAGCCAGUGGCCCGCGCCCGCAGGCGGCCUCAUCCCAGCCCUCGGACCUCAGAGCCCCAGCCCCCGCCCCUCCCCGCCGCCGGCCCGGGCUCCCUCCGAAGGGCCUGGCCCACUGCACGCUGGCUGGCCUGUCGGCCGGCCGUGACCUGCCCGCUCGCCCCACGGACAGCUGCUCCCCUCCUUCGCCCGGGACCCAAGGCCCGGCCCUUCGGCCGGAUGGAUGGACGGAUAUUGGCCCCGGCAGAUGGACAGGCGGACGGUCGGUCGGCUGCCGGCCGGCUCCUGGAACCUGGGCCCCUCCAUACUACCCAUUUCCUGGGCCCUCCCGAUCCAGGAAACAAGACGGGCGGGGCGUGGGCCGGCCAGGAGCCCUCAAGACAGUCCCGGGGCGCGGCGCCGCCCAGAGGGGGCAAGAACCCGUGUCCCGAGGUAGAGAGAAAAAGCAACAGAGAAAAGCAAGCCGACUGGUCCCCAUGCGCACGCUCCAGCCCGAACGUGCACCCACCUCACCUCACUGUCUCGGGGGGGGCUUCUCCUGGCCUGAGAGGGACCUGGCGGGGAAGGCAUCCAAGCGGAAGCGGAAUCCUGACACCUUGGCUGCAGGUCCUGGGCCCCUCCCCCGUCCCCGCCUCUGCCUGGACCCCUCCUCACCUCUCCUCCCUGCCCGCCCCACCCCCACCCCCCACCCCGGUGCCCCCAAGCCCGGCCACCCCCCUCCCCCCUCCCCCCUAGCCCGGCCACCCCACACCCACCCCGACCCCCUCCCCUGCCAGCCUCAGGGCCCUGCCUCCUGCCCCAGGCCCAGCCCAAGCCCCUUCCUUGCGAAAGCCGCCUCUUCAGCAGGGCCUCUCUCUGAUCUGUGUCAGGCUCUGGGACCCUAUGGGUCCCGAGUGCCUCUCUGGGUCUGGGGGUCGUAUCCCCUCCUCCCGCCACCUCUCCUUCCGUCUCUGGGUCUCUGUCAGUCUCCCUAGCUUCUUCUCUCUCCCUCUCUCUCCCUCUCUCUCUCUCUCUCUCUCUCUCUCUCUCUCUCUCUCUCUCUCUCCCCCCCCCCCCCCCGCCUGCGCUGGCACGCGCACCCGCGCGCGCGUUUGUGUGUGUGUGUGUGUGUGUGUGUGUGUGUGUGUGUUGUGAAAGUGUGACAGAGCCAGAGAGCCAGAGAGAGACGUGGUGGGUGGGUGGGGGUGGCAUCUUGUGGGCAGGGGAACAGGCUCCGAGCCCGCCCGGCCGCCUGCCCAUCCUCAGCUCUCCCCGCCAGGAGCUCUCCGGUUUGACGACGAGGCCCCCCGCCCCGUGUCCUGGACUCCUGUGGGGAAGGGUGGCCUUGGAAAGGCCACCUGGCGGGCCUGAUGCCCUCCUGCUGC
rnacentral:lncRNA from 9 species